rnacentral:rRNA from 1 species
UGAGGAAUAUUGGUCAAUGGGCGCAAGCCUGAACCAGCCAUCUCGCGUGCAGGAAGACGGCCCUAUGGGUUGUAAACUGCUUUUCCAGGGGGAGAAUUUUUCUGUCGUGACAGGAAUUGACGGUACCCUGGGAAUAGGCAUCGGCUAACUCCGUGCCAGCAGCCGCGGUAAUACGGAGGAUGCGAGCGUUAUCCGGAUUUAUUGGGUUUAAAGGGUGCGUAGGCGGAUUGAUAAGUCAGUGGUGAAAACCUGCAGCUUAACUGUAGACUUGUCGUUGAUACUGUCAGUCUUGAGUGUGGUCAAGGUAGGCGGAAUGUGUAAUGUAGCGGUGAAAUGCUUAGAUAUUACACAGAACACCGAUUGCGAAGGCAGCUUACUGGGCCAUUACUGACGCUGAUGCACGAAAGCGUGGGGAUCGAACAG